rnacentral:rRNA from 1 species
CCUACGGGUGGCUGCAGUGAGGAAUAUUGGUCAAUGGACGAGAGUCUGAACCAGCCAAGUAGCGUGAAGGAUGACUGCCCUAUGGGUUGUAAACUUCUUUUAUAAAGGAAUAAAACGAGGCACGUGUGCCUUUUUGCAUGUACUUUAUGAAUAAGGAUCGGCUAACUCCGUGCCAGCAGCCGCGGUAAUACGGAGGAUCCGAGCGUUAUCCGGAUUUAUUGGGUUUAAAGGGAGCGUAGAUGGGUUGUUAAGUCAGUUGUGAAAGUUUGCGGCUCAACCGUAAAAUUGCAAGUGAUACUGGCAGUCGUGAGUACAGUUGAGGUAGGCGGAAUUCGUGGUGUAGCGGUGAAAUGCUUAGAUAUCACGAAGAACCCCGAUUGCGAAGGCAGCUUACUAAACUGUGACUGACAUUGAUGCUCGAAAGUGUGGGUAUCACACAGGAUUAGAUACCCUAGUAGUC